UACGUAGGGUGCGAGCGUUAUCCGGAAUCACUGGGCGUAAAGAGUUUCGUAGGCGGCUUGGUAAGUAUGUUGUGAAAUCCUUCGGCUCAACCGAAGAAUUGCUACAUAUACUGCUAAGCUAGAGGAUGUCAGAGGAUGCUGGAAUUCUCGGUGUAGCAGUGAAAUGCGUUGAUAUCGAGAAGAACACCAAGGGCGAAGGCAGGCAUCUGGGACAUAUCUGACGCUGAUGAACGAAAGCUAGGGGAGCAAAAGGG
rnacentral:misc_RNA from 1 species